CGCUGGGGAGCGGACACCCGGCAGCAGCCCCUCACCGCUCUCCUGAGCGUGUCUUCCCCAUGUAGCUCUGUAUCCCAUGGUGAGAUCACCUCAGGGCAACACAAGAGUUACAGCUAAAAGCUCCUUUUUUAAAAAAACAGUCGCAUUAGUGUCCUGCGGGGCAGACGAGGUGAGGGGAAGGCGGGCGGGCUCUGGCGAAGGCGCCGCUGAGGCAGCCGGGGCUGCGCCCUCCGCACACGGUUCUGGAAACUGCCCGGCUGAGCCCCCGCGGGGUUCAGCACCGCCGGCCGACACCGGGGACAGGAAACACCCAUUCGUGAGUGGAAACCCGGGCACCUCCGGGACGACACCGGGGCACCUGUGAGAGAAACCCAGCACCGCCGGGAGGACACCCAGGCCUGUUGGGAGGGAAAUGCGGACGCCCCCACACGACAUCUGUGAGGAAGGAGCCUUGGAAUCUGCUUUAAGCCAUCAUUUCUAGAGAACAGGCAUCCUUCAGACACCAAGUGUGCACUGGUGCUCAGCCAGCGAGCAGGCCAGACAAAUUGCUUUCCACACUGGGCAAUGCAAGUCUGAAAUACAGGAACAUAUGAGUAAGUUUCAACAUUGUUCCAGAUAUUCCGUUCUUUUAUAUGGAUACAGAAGAUAUGUCUGUAUGUGAGGGCACCUUCUUUUUGUCAGGUGAAUAUUACACUGACAACGGGUCAGCACUGGAUUGGGAUGUUAUAUGCAGCUCAAAGGGUCAGACAUGCUGGGAGACCAGGAAAUAAACGCUCAAGUGGCCAAGAAACACCCAUUGAGAACAGAUACCGGUUGUACAGUGUUGAACUCUGCGUCUGGCACAGUGAGAUCUUCGGUGCCACAGUCUGAAGACAAGUCCCCGUCAGUAACCUGGGGCUCUCUGUGGUCCGGUACCUCAAGCAGACAGAAAUGGAAAAGAACUAUGGCCUGAAACUAUUAACUAAAACUCUGUCGGCAUAAUUUUGCUUAAGAUCUUAAAUAAUUGAGAUAUUAAAAGCUUAUACUCUGUAACUAUUAGUAGCUAGUAUCAGUAUUGGCAUUGUUCAAAGUCUCAUCCCCGUUUGCUUAGAAACAACAAAACCCCAUGGACUGCCAAUACAUAAAAGUUCUGUCAUCCAACACCUGUGAAGAUACCUGACCUACCGCAGGUUCUAAAAGAUGCAGAUACCUCAACGUCACUAUGAAUUUUACAGUCAGUGUCUUUCUGUACAACCCUUUCUUUUUUUUAAACAUGAGCAGUUCAACUAAUUAGAUCUCUCAUAAUGGUAGUGGCUUGAAGAACUUUAAUUGAAUUAAUCAGCAGACUAUUCCGUGAGUACACAAUUUACUAACACUAUAUUUUUUAAAUUGCAGCUUUAUCUGUUUAGUGGAAGAUGAUUAAAUGUAUACCAUGCUUCCAAUUUAAAACUUUCCUUUGCAAUGAAGCAUCCAAAUCUAGCAGCUUGUCUUCACGUGAUACGGAAGCAUCCAGGCAAGUGUCAGGCUGAAUAUACAUAUGUGUCAUAUACCAAGAAAAGGAAAUCAAACAUACCUAUGUGGACUCUGAAUCUAAGGAAGGCAAAAAAAUCACAGAAUUAUAUAAGCAUGGUAAGUCAAUCCUUGCAAAAACCCUUCAUUCAAGGGAUUUUUUAGAGUCUUUUCCUAUAAGAUUCUGGCGUGGCUCAUUGUGCACAGGCAGAAACAGUGGAGAAGAGGCACCCCCUGCUCUCCAGCCAUGAGCAGAAAGUGAAGUUUUCCUCAGAACAUUUUCCGACUGGACACGGGGGUCAUAAAAAUCUCCGCGCUCCAAGGGGUGAUCAGCUUGUACACGUAUCGCAGACCUUCAGACUUCAAAACGGACGGGAAAUUCUCACUUUCUAAAAAAAGCAAUAAAAGCAGAGGGAGAGCAAAAUUUCCAGAGCAAAUCAGCAUCACAGACAUGAAAACAGUCCAGAUCCCAGUCUCCUGAUCUGUACUUCAGUACACCAGCUAUACUGAAAUUAUAUUUAGGCCAUUUAAUUCCCAGUAGAUCCCGUGUAACUUCAGUACUGAUGUUUUGUUGCAGCAACAUGCCAGAACAGAUCUUGCAUGGCAUUGUUUUCCUUCUUGCUUGUGCAAGCGAUUAAUCUGUGAUUAUAAACCGAAAUGUUCAAGAUUUCUUUCAACAAAUACUGCUACUCAUAUGAUGAAAUACAAAGACGAACAAAUCAAGGCCUGAUACCUACGUACAUCAUUCUAGAAACACACUGGAACAAAAACCCACCACCACAAACAGAAAUCACAGAAGCAGCUACAAAACAGCUCAAAAGAACAAGAUGUAAGCAUGCUCUACUUCAAACAAGAAAAGAUGUUAUUUUUUAUUUUCUUCUUGAUAAAGUAGCAUAUUCCAACUGGAUUACAACAAAAUUACCAGAGGAUAUUAAAAAAAAUACAUGAAAGUAUUCAGAAAAUUAUAUAUAUAUAUACAUUUGCUUAAAAAUUCUACAAUGUAAACCUUAGCAUAACAAGUUAAAAUAAUAUUACAAACAGUUUAUUAAUAUUUAUGUGAAUACUGUACAUAUAUAUGCUUCAGAAUUAAUACUAUAUUUUCUACAGUUUAACAGGAAGAAAAAAAAUCCCCCCCCGCCAUGAAAAGGGAAAUCCAGCUGCUUCAGUUGCCAACAGGUUUGGUCCCUCAUACAAGAUACUUCGUAUUUAUCUCAGUGUUAAUAAGAAAGAAAGUGCAGCCUUUCAGAAUCAGGUUUUCAAUCACAUUUAUACUGUGAUAAUUUUUAAUGUCUUAAAUGAUUAACACUACACUCAAAAAACCCACUACCACAGUUUAGUUUCUGUCAUUGCACGGACAUCAUUUCUGAAAUCUGGUUAAGGAGAGUGAUUUCCCUGCAUGGAAGUGCAACACCUUUGUUUCGAUGCAACAACAAAACACAUAUUUUUAAAGUCCAGAUAUUUGCAGCAAUUUGUAAAUCAAAAAUUCAUUUAUCUCUAACAUUUCAGUGCUGUUUUCUAGUGUAAAUUCAUGCCAUUAGUAACCAAAAACUAUGCCACUGUUAUUCAUUAGAAGUAUGCGCUCAUUAUUUUUAAAAAGAAUUUUUAUAACUAAUCUAAGUUACCUAUAACUGGACCAUAAAAGCACAGUUAGUGCAGAAAAAGAAAUAAAUGAAAUGUACUGUCAGACCACUGUGUAGAGCAAGUGUUCUACCUUCCCUUCAACAGCUGAAAUACAAAGCAGGUUAACUGAUAUUUUUAAAGCUACCCUAUAUUUCAUAUAUAAUUUAAUAUAUUAAAGUGAUUCUUUCAAUAUGCAAUGUUAAGAAACCACUGAAAGAACUAAGUAAUCAUGAAAUUAAUAUUCCAUGUGGUGCAGGGUGGUGACUGAAAUAUUCUAAGCUACAGAAAUGGAAGGAGGUAAAUUCUUUACUGAGUUCCUAUACAGAAAUAUUAUUAUUGCUUCCAAGGAGAAAAUUGUGUUCUCAUGUUAAACAGCUUUAUUUUCAUAUAUACCAGAGCUCCAGCUAGAGGAGCUCAGUGCUGUCACUGGGAUUUGCAAGGGCAUACAGGAGCAGAAUUUGGUGAACAAGUAGUUUUCUUAAACAGCUGUUGCACAGGUUUCUCAUAGUUAUUUCCAGCAGGUCACUGUUUUUCUAUCCACAGGCAUAGAUAUCUUUCCUCAGAAUUACAAGAUACUGGAUGUUUUGAGGCGGGGAGUUUGAGCCUUUGAAAUGGCAGGAAACUUAGAGCUGAAAUGCCCGUGUGCUUUGAAGUGCAGAGAGUGACGUCCCUCUCAGAAAGCACUAAUAACUGGGUCUGUUCACAAAAUACCAGAUUUUUCAAUCAUCUCUGUGUCCUGACAGUGUCGGUAGAUCGCUUGGGGUCUCCUCCUGAGCCUGCUGCUCUGAGGCAGUCAGCCCCCUUGCUUAGCAGGUUCUUACUCAUUAAUUACAGCUGCUAUGCAGAUAUUGUUCUAUACAAUAAAAUAUUAGUUUGUAACAAAAAAAAUGCACUUUAGCAAGAGGUCACCAUUUUGAGCCAGUGAUUUUUAAUGGCCUUUCUCUAAAUACUUGUAGUAAUCCAAUCACGAUGGUUUAUGACUUACAGUAGAUUCUGUAAAAUAGUAUAAUUUGAUUACAGUAAUAACACCUAUGAUAUAUUCCAUAAAAAAACUGGCUUUGAAAUUAUUAAUCUUCCUAAGAGUAUGCAACUUAAUGGACAUAUCAAUUUAAGCCUUUAUGACUAUGUCAAUAUCCUGCCUCAUAUAAACCUUGGAAAUUUAUUAUCAUUAUUGAGAAACUUGAUUUAAUGCAAAAGCCAAGUCGAUACAAUGCAUUCUCUGUAAUGAAUGACAAUCUCUACAUAAAUGAGAUUCUGAAAACCCGCAGUCACUAUGUAAUGAAUACUGAUAGACAAUCACAUCUGCAAGAGCCGCCAGAGUCCUGCCUGCCCCGUGUUCCUUAGGAAAUUGCUCAUUUUGUGUGUGAUUGGAGAACACCAUUAAAAUAAAAGUAGCACCACUUAUUUUUACAAUUUACUUUGAAUAGUCACUAAAGUUCCAGAUGAGCAGCCCUAGGGACUUAAUAUGUCUAAAGAUAAAACAGGAAUGGAAUUUAAAUGAUGGUACCGAUUCCUUGGCGCGGCCUGGUCGCAGGUGGAACAGCACCAGGGACCAGCCUGGCCCAGGGACCGCGGGGCCAACAGGGACCGGCGGAACCCGUCGGCUCAUUGUGCAGCAUCCACAGACCAGUCAAUACCAAAGGAAACUGCAUUUGUACAAAUAUUGUAACUACAUGCAUGGAACUGGGCGACACAGGAGAAACUGGUAAAAUCAUUCAACUGACAGAAUCAUUGUUAUGCUUACAGGUAUUUUAUAAGAAUACUGAAACUGUUUGGGAUUCUUACACCAGCUAGUCAACCUUCUUCAACAGUCUUUGCUGAUUCUGGUAAAUAAAUAGAAGUGGAAUUAGUGACAGGUAUGAACAAUUCUCUCAGAGAUGGGGCAUUUUAGAAUGUCUCGAGGUGCUAAAAACGUGGGCAUUCAUAUGGAAGACACGUGAGUGCCCCACUGCACUUCCUAACAGCGCGGUGAAUCGAGUGGGAACGCUGUCUUGUGAAGAACGCCUUCCAUUGCAUUAUUUGCUGAGAUUUUGGAGAAACCACAGAUGAGCUUUUAAAUGGAUUAGUAAUGCCCCCGUUACAGCAUCUUGUAUCACAACGUCAACAUUGUUUGCUGAGUGUAAUCUUAGGAUACACAAUUCAGCUAAAGUUAACAAAGAAUAAUUUGUGCAGAGAAAACAAGUUUAGUAUUUUUCUGUGAUGUACAUACAUACAGGAAGAAUUACAAGAAGCAAGAUAAUCAGGAAUUUAAUCAUUCUAAGAGCCAAAUGUAGAUAGAAAAAUUCCUCCUAAACAACUGGAAAAAAUAAAUUCAGUCUGUGCUAAGUGGAAUUUCUUAUCAUUUGCAACUUUUUGAAUAUGGAGUACUUUCCACUUGUGAAUUAUUUCCUGGAAAUGAAAACAGUUUCAUGUGACAGAAACACCACAAAGGUUUCCACAGUGGUUUUUUUCAGUUUUACUUGCAAUUCAGUGUUAAUAGAUGUGUGUCAUAUUUCUACAUAUUUCUACUAGUCUCCACUUCUGAAAAAUGAAUUUAGAAUUGUUUCCAAGUGAGACCAUCAUUAUAGCUGCUUUUCUUUCCAACAAAGACAAACUAAACUAUCAGCAGUGUAUCAGACUGAAGAGUUCAAAGAGUCAUUAACUGACAAGCUCCUCACUUUCCUUUCUCCUCAAAUAAAUAUCCCGCUGGAGUUUACACGAAACACCAACAAUAAUUCAUCUUCUAAUAAAAACACAUCAGCCAGCUCCCAGGCAGGCCUGUUGGAUUUUCUCUUUAUCUAUUUAGUUUGUAAAUGAGACCUCUUACUGACUGAGAAGUAUUGUUUCAUUUCCGUAACAUGAUUCCACUUUGUGGUAUUUCAUCUACUGAAAUUUCUGACUUGAAGAGAGCAUUCCACUCCUCUUUGCCACCUUUGCUAUUCAGUGCGAUCCCCAAGCGACGCAGGAACCCAGCAGCUGGGGCCCGCGGUCAGACAGCGUGUGGAGGAGCCCCUACUCGCUCCAAAGUGCCACGGGACACGACCGGACCACUCACCUGCCAAACACUCCACGCCGGUCACAGGUUUGCAGAACAGAAGUUCCAGUUUGCUACAACUUUUGUAAAGCACUAAGGUAAAAAUCUGUUCCUCAUCGUUGGCCUGUUUUUUUUCGGCAGGGUUAUAUUAAAUUUCAAUAUCUACUGACAUGAGAAUUUAAUACAAUGAGUGGAUAAUAAAAUGACAAGAUACAUCAAUUUAAGUAACAUUAUCCAAAAUAACUUCUGAGAAAAAUGAUGUUCUUACACAAAGGAAAACCAGAAUACAAUUUUUAAAAAAUCUGAAUGUACACUGCUUAAACUUAAUGAAGAGAAGAUAGCUAACAUAUAAUUAACUGCCUACGGCAGUGCAGCUAAUGGAUACUGAACUGGAUUCCAGUUAAUCCAUGUCAGGACUUCCAUCACUUGUAACAAUUCUUGUCCAUUUUUUUAGUUACUCUUGCAACAGUACCAUUACAAAUUCCUUUUCAAUAGGAGGUGAUGGGUAACAGGCACUUUCAUUACAGGCAAUGUUUAAGUAUCACCAUGUGGAGGGUUUUAUGAAUCAGACUCGCAUGCUGCCCUGUUAAUGAUGGACUGUUCUGUAGCAUCAGCACAAAUUAAUAACAAAACAGAACCCAAGUCUUGAAAUCACUAUUUUGUACCAUUCUAAUUUUGUGUAUCCUUAUGGUGGUUUGUAGAAAUCAAUAAUAUUGCACCCAGCCUUACAGCAAGACUGACAUUUCCUAAAAAAUUAUGACAUUCUCUGAUUAUUAAGAAUUACUUCCCACAAAUGAAAGCUACUGAGCAUAUCUAACUAGAAAUGUACAAAAGCUAUUUUCCACCUGUAAUGCUUUUCCCUUGUCAUCUACUUUGUCAAGUUUUUAAAAAACCUUUGUGUGUGUCAGAGGUUUACAAUUCAAAAAAAAUGCCCAGUCUUUCUAUUUACAAAAGGUAAUAAAUUAGUGAGGUUCUUCAAACCACAUUCUUCUGACAUAUUAAGUAGUGAUAAUCACAACUGUUCUUCUAAGGAAAAGGUGGUCUCGACAUGAUACCCAUGUCUGGCUGGAACAGAAGAGCGUACACGUAGAAAAAGAGACAACACAAUACAAACAAGGAAUUCAUAGUAACAGAAGAACUUCAGAAGAACAAAGGAGAGUAUGUGCAGUGCAGCUUUACGCAACAAAGCAAAUGCCUCUGGGUUUGCCGAGCCUGCUGAAGAGCCCUCGGCUGCUUUGAGCAGUGAUGACUGCCUUCCAAAGUCACUCAUCAGGAUGUGACCCUUAGCCAUGAACGUCUCUCUGCAGGAUUUAAGUUGAUGCAGCUGUAGUCUCUUCAGGAGCUUAAAUUAUAAAUACAGGCUAGGAAGGAAUGGGGGAAUGACUUAAAGUACGUGGUGCCAGCAUGGGCAAUGAGGAGGAAGGUCAGAGAUCCCCGCUCUGCGGCUCCAGGCUGCGCGGCUCUCUGUGCUGGCUGCGGGACAGCUUGGGGAAGCGCGCGCUCGCUCUCGAGUGGUUGCUUUUGCUUACCGGUUCUCCAGAAGCCGGAAUAUCA